rnacentral:rRNA from 1 species
UUGACCUCGGAUCANGUAGGGAUACCCGCUGAACUUAA